AAACGUUGGUUUAGAAACAAAACUUUAAAACAGAAUAUACGACGGCAGCAAAACCACGAGAACCUAACAUGCUCGAAUGACGAUGGUGACUGCUUGACGAUACGGCUUAACUCGACAACCGAACCUCUCUUUCCCUCUCCAUUCCCGACACAGGAGAUGAUAAACGACGACUGGUGUCAAAAGGUUGAAUACGUGUGUACUUUAUAACAUACCGAUAAUGGAUUCUUUUGACACCACAUGAAACCUGUUAACUACUGAAACCGUUCAUGAAUGGUUAUUGUAAUAUUGUGAGCGCUUUAUGCUCGAACUUUGUCAUAGCAUUUAUGUACUCAUGUCUAGCAAAGUAUUAUAAUAAAAACGUAUAUUGUCGCCUUCUUAGUUUGUAUUUUUAGUAUAAUUACCAUUUUAAAAAACCUUUUGUAUGCAUUUAAAUAUAACAAUUAUAUUUAUAAUAAAAAAUAU